ensembl:snRNA U4 U4 spliceosomal RNA
AGCUUUGCACAGUGGCAGUAUCGUAGCCAAUGAGGUUUGUCCGAGGUGCGAUUAUUGCUAAUUGAAAACUAUUCCCAAUACCCUGCCAUCAUGACUUGAAAUAUAGUUAGUGUUGGCAAUUUUUGGCAGUCUCUACGGGA